UACGUAGGGGGCAAGCGUUGUCCGGAAUCAUUGGGCGUAAAGAGCGUGUAGGCGGUUCGGUAAGUCGGCUGUGAAAGUCCAGGGCUCAACCCUGGGAUGCCGGUCGAUACUGGAUGGCUUGAAUUCGGGAGAGGGAUGCAGAAUUCCAGGUGUAGCGGUGAAAUGCGCAGAUAUCGGGAGGAACACCAGUGGCGAAGGCGGAACUCUGGGCCGGAACUGACGCUGAGGAGCGAAAGCGUGGGGAGCGAACAGG
rnacentral:rRNA from 1 species